rnacentral:lncRNA from 1 species
ACAAAAACUCUCAAAGAUAAGGUUUCGCUGUGUCAUUGAGAGGGUCUUUUGUCACCCAGGCCAGAGUGCAGUGGCUCCAUCUCAGCUCAUUACAGCCUUGACCUCCCAGGCUCAAGUGAUCCUCCUACCUGAACCUCCAGAAUAGCUGAGACUACAGGUGCACACCAUCAUACCUGGCUAAUUUAAUUUUUUUUUUUUUUUUUGAGAUAAGAGUUCUGCCACUUUGCUCAUGCUGGUCUCAGACUCUUUUUUUUUUUUUUUUUUCCUGAGACCGAGUCUUGCUCUGUCACCCAGGCUGGAGUACAGGGGCAUGAUCUUGGCUCACUGCAACCUCCAUCUUCUGGGUUCAAGCCAUUCUCCUGCCUCAGCAUCCCCAGUAGCUGGGGUUACAGGCACGUGCCACCAUGCCCAGCUAAUUUUAGUAUUUUAGUAGAGAUGGGGUUUCACCAUGUUGGCCAGGCUGGUCUCAAACUCCUGACCUCAAGUGAUCCACUCAUCUUGGCCUCCCAAAGUGCUAGGAUUACAGGCAUGAGCUACCACACCCAGCCAGGUCUCAAACUCAAGCUCAAGUGAUCUUCCUGCCUUGGCCUCAAAGGUACUGGGAUUACAGUUACUCGCUGGAAGUGGUGGGAAUCAUAAAAAACAACCAGGACCUUGCAUCCUAGUAUAGAAGCCACAACUGUGGAAGCUUAACAGCCAGGCAAAUGCCCACAAACCACCACCCUCUGCAUUGGAUGCAUAUGUCCCUGACCUCGCAAGUGAAAAAGAGAGGAAGACGGCGACACCUCCAGGCUUCAGACUCAUUAAUCCUGUGAAUCGUGACCCACUCUUAAAACCAAGGAAGAGGGAAGUUUGGACACAGACACACACAGACAAGAGAAUACCAUGUGACAAAGGCAGAGAUUGGAAUGAUACAGCUGCAAGCCAGGGAUGCCAAGGAUUGCAGGUGAAGAGUCAAGGAAGGAUUCUACCCAGAGUUGCACGGCCUUAUUGACACCUUGAUUUGGGCUUCUAGACUCCAGAAUCAUGACAGAAUAAAUUUAUCUGUGUGGAUGUGUGUGUGUGUGUGUGUGUGUGUGUGUGUGUGUGUGUUUUCCUAAAAAAGAGACAAGGUCUCAUUCUAUCCCCCAGGAUGGAGUGCAGUGUCAUGAUCAUAGCUCACUGCAGCCUCGAUCUCCUGGACUCAAAGCAUCUUCCCACCCCAGCCUCCCAGGAAUCUGGGACUACAGGUGUGAACCACUGUGCCGGCUCUGUUGAUUUAAGCCACCGAGUUUGUGGAACUUUGUUAUGGCAGUUCUAGAAAAUGAAUAUAAUAAUUAAAAUGAAAGUUUUGCUAACUGCUACCUUUACCUUUACCAUGUGCAAUUUUAUUUUAUUCUUUUUUUAAGCUUCUUAUAACUCAGUUCACUGGUUUCAUAAUCUACUAAUGGGUUGUAAUCCAAAGUGUGAAUAAUAUACCAGAAAUACCCUUGAAAGUUCUUUCCAAACUUGAGAGUUUGUGAUUCUAUGGGACCUAAGUGGGGCACAGAUCAGAAGAAUCAAAACACAAAAAAGGCUGCGCGCAGUGGCUCAUGCC